ensembl:lncRNA
GCAGCACCUCAGGGCAGUGGUCACUCUCAGAGCUGUGCAGCCCCAUCCCCACGUCCUCCCAUGGUGCAUUUCAGACAUACAUGCAGCCUCUCAGGAGAGCCAGCAGUGGGCUUCUCCUCUGGGCUGCCCUGCCUGAAGCAUCCGAAGCUCAUUUGUCUUGCAGCUGAAGUAUGUUUUUUUUUCCUUCUGAGAUGUGAACAAUUUCUGUGGAUCCAUCUGGAUGCUAUUAGGAAAACGUUCCGGGUGCAUGGAGGCUGCUGGCAGCUCCUCACUCGCUUCCUCUGUCCCGGGCGCGCGAGGCAGGGAGUGAUGCACACGAGGGGCUGGGGGUGUGGGUGAGGGUGCUGGCAUGUGAAGGGCAGCAGUCGGGUGGUGUGGAUGGGUGCUGAGCUCCCAGGACAUGCCCAGCACUGUGGGGCCACCCAGGGAUCGACCUAAGUAACAAAUGUGCAGACGAGAAGGGGAGCACAGGGCAGGAACCCGAUGAUGCCCAUCUCUUGCCCUCCCCAUGCUGCUCCUCCCCGGGGCCCUCCAGGCACACCAACCCCCCGGCACAGCCAGCACCAUCCUCCCCUGCCCACCUGGGGACACAGAGGGAUGUGGAGCAAUCUGCACUUCUGCAAGGACUCCUCAGUGCUGAGUUUAAAUUCAUGCUGCUGCUCCUCAGCAGCCCCCUCCCACUUGCUCCCCUCUCUCUUCACUUCUUUAGUUCAGCCCUUUCUCCUUCUUCUGUGCAGUGAUUUGCAGCAGUCCCAGUCUGCUUGUACAACAGCACAGUUCCCUCGGGCCUCAGCUGACAGCUUCCACGGCUUUGGUGCCAGGUCCUGAUGACCACAUGAUUCCCGAGGGCAGGAACCAGCCCUUCCAAAUGGCGACUGCAAUUUCCAGUUGGUCACAUGUAUUGAAGUCACACCUUGAAUGCAGGAUGAAGAAAAGAGGAAGGAAUGGCGAAGGCACGGCCAUGCGAUGUUAAGGGGUGAGCUCCUCGUGCUGCUGGGCGUUUGUUUUUCAGAGAAUACAGCCUCAAGCUCAGGCCCAAACUCUCCUCUCCAAGAGCACUCCCAAAGCAAAGCCAGAUGCAAUGCAGUGGCACCUCAGUGCAGGCACUGCUCACCCAGGCAGACCCAUCUUCAUGUGGCAGUUCAGUUUUCCUCAUCCAGGUCCCUCCGAGUACCUGGCGGCACUCUGGGAGCAAGUGGGGGAGUCCAGAGAUGGGCCUCCAUGCUGGGUGCCUUUCACUGAGAACAGAGCUCCCGUGAAGUGCUCUCCGGGGACAGCCCAACCCAGCAGCACACAGGGGCGUUGCUCAGAUGUCAUUGAACCCAUUGGGAACCUCCUUCUGUCUCUCCAGUGCCAUCUCCCUGUGUCCAGCAGCCCCAGACAAAGCUGGCGUUUCCCUGCAGCUCUGACAAAAAUGCCAUGGGGGGCCUGGUGGAAAGCUGCAAUGGGGCA